GUCUGGGGAGAGAUUCAGCAAUGGAAUUGCCAGUUCUUCACUUUCAGCCAGCUAGCUAAUUUUGAAACUUUGUGUUGCUUCUCUCCCCAGGAAGUCUUGAAAAAAGAAAAUAUAUGCUAGCUAACAUCAGCCUUUUUCUUCUAGGGACUGUAAGUCUGCAUAAAAGGGACAUUAUUGUGGAACCUCUUGCUCAUGGAGAAGAACUACAACUAUGUCAUACUAAACAGAGCAGUCUCUAGAUCUGCCCUGAUUUACAAAAUGGACUAAACAGUUCAUACCAUGUCAUGCUGAAUGUGGCAGGACUAUACCUAUAAACAUUUGGACGAGAGUGUUGAGGAAUGUUAGAAUGGAAUUGAUAGAAACAAUGCUUAUUAGUUCACACAUUAGAGCGAAUCCUUACAAGGUGUUAAGUCACUGGAAUUGAUAGAAACAAUGCUUACACCUUUGAGAGUUCACACAUUGGCUCACAAGAGCUAAGAGUUCACAAGUUGGGAGAUUUCAGUAUUCAGUCUGUGAUUCACGAAUUCACACCUCCCAUAAUCCCAACCUUUGAGAGGAGGAGUCAACCUUUGAGUUUACACUUCUUUUUUUUUUUUUUAAACACUUCUAAAAGAGUAUAAAAAGAGUUUCAGUCAGUCAGUCAGUCAGUCAGUUCAGAAGACUGCCAGGAGUCGGAGUUGAGCUAGAGGCAGAAGCUGGUGAAGGUAAAAGACUAGCAACGAGAGCUCUCAGAACCAAAGAAAGCUAACUGGGCUAUUUUGGAAGAGACAAUAAAGAAUUGAACUUUUAA